GUGCUGUGCCAUUAGUUAUGGCUUGGUUAUCUGAAUGAUAAUAAGAGCUUCACAUGAUUUUUGUCUUCUCUUUACCCAGUGUUACAUGUUGUCUCAUUCUCUGAGAAGCAAGGGUUGUAAGAGUGAAACAAUGGAGGGUUGUGUGUUGGAAGGGAAAUUCCUACUAUAAGGAAAAGUGGUUAAGCACUACAACAAGUUGUUCUCGGGGACUCUGAAGUCUUUGUCUUUGGAGAUGGUCGAACCUCAGCCAGACAUAGCUUUCAACACCCUGAUCUCCCUGAUGUCACCUCUGCUGGGGCUGGGAGUUGGGGUGAGGUGGCCUCCAAGUACUUACACUUCUCCUCUGUAGGCACUCAACAGGCCCGGAUGAAUAGCAGAUGGAAAAAUGAGAAAGCAGCACUGCUGAGAGAUUAUUUUUGUUUUGAUGGUCAAAAGAAAGACAGUUCAGCAGCCCAAAGGAAAACAGACGGAAGCAGCAGCUCAAAAAUCAAAUGAGGGGAAACUGAUGAAAGAGGAACUGCAAGGAACACGCCUUGUUUAUUUGGAAAGAGUUGUCCUUCCCAGCACACAGGAGAACUACCAGAGCAGAGACUAUCUGAUGCAUAGCAGGAUGGAGGAGGAUGGUGAGGACUCUUUCUCAUUUUUUUUUGCUGAGCAGGCCUUAUAAAUCAUCUCAAGGACUUGUGUCAUUCUUAAUCUGCUACUCUGGAAAUGCAGCUCUGAUUUCAAAUGGUUUGUAUUCUCUCCCAAAUACAAAGCGGAGCCCAAUGGCAGUGAUGUUGGAGAUGAGUAGGCUGUUAGACUAGAUGAUCUCAGGGGUCUUUUCCAACCUUAAUGAUUCUGUGGCACUGCUGUAGGGGAGGGCUUGUAGCUUCCCUAGCAGAAGUUAGUUUGGGCUAACUGCAGCAACCCUGUUGGAUGCGGGUUUGAAAGCAGAGCCGUGGGCAACUGGGAUGAGUUUGUCAGUGUGGGUUCUGGGAUUGUUUCCUCUGGAGAAGAGGAGGCUCAGGGGAGACCUUAUUGCUCUCUACAGCUCCCUGAAAGGAGUUUGCAGAGAGGUGGGGAUCAGUCAUUUCUCCCAGGUAACAGUGAUAGGAUGAGAGCUGAUGGCCUCAAGUUGCACCAGGGGAGAUUCUGGUUGGAUAUUAGGAAGAAUUUCU
rnacentral:lncRNA from 1 species